AUUGGCUGUCUCAUUGUGGCCUGUUACGAAGUCAAUUGCUGUACCUCGUUUUGUAAGUCCCAAGUUAUACACGAUUUUUAUUAGCAACACCCUAGAUUUUCACAUGCAUACGAGGAAUUUCAGCAUGUCUACAGUAACUGGUAAAGUAAAGUUCUUUAACGAAGCUAAAGGUUUCGGUUUCAUCGAGCAAGAGCAAGGCGCAGACGUAUUCGUACAUUUCAGCGCUAUCCAAUCUGAUGGUUUCAAAACUUUGGCUGAAGGCCAAACCGUUCAGUUCACUAUUGCUCAAGGUCCUAAAGGUCCUCAAGCUGAGAACGUGGUACCUAUGUAAUCACGUUGCUUCGGCAGCCUAGAUUAAUAGAAUCCUAAAAAGCCGCUCCUUGAGCGGCUUUUUUUA
rnacentral:sRNA from 1 species